GAUGAACGCUGGCGGCGUGCCUAAUACAUGCCAGUCGAGCGAACAGACGAGGAGCUUGCUCCUCUGACGUUAGCGGCGGACGGGUGAGUAACACGUGGAUAACCUACCUAUAAGACUGGGAUAACUUCGGGAAACCGGAGCUAAUACCGGAUAAUAUAUUGAACCGCAUGGUUCAAUAGUGAAAGACGGUUUUGCUGUCACUUAUAGAUGGAUCCGCGCCGCAUUAGCUAGUUGGUAAGGUAACGGCUUACCAAGGCAACGAUGCGUAGCCGACCUGAGAGGGUGAUCGGCCACACUGGAACUGAGACACGGUCCAGACUCCUACGGGAGGCAGCAGUAGGGAAUCUUCCGCAAUGGGCGAAAGCCUGACGGAGCAACGCCGCGUAAGUGAUGAAGGUCUUCGGAUCGUAAAACUCUGUUAUUAGGGAAGAACAAAUGUGUAAGUAACUAUGCACGUCUUGACGGUACCUAAUCAGAAAGCCACGGCUAACUACGUG
rnacentral:rRNA from 1 species